UACGAAGGGCCCGAGCGUUGCGCGGAAUUACUGGGCUUAAAGGGUGCGUAGGCGGACUUGCAAGUGUCUUGUGAAAUACCACGGCUUAACCGUGGAACUGCUCGGCAAACUACAAGUCUUGAGCCCGUCAGGGGUCGUCGGAACUCUAGGUGGAGCGGUGAAAUGCGUAGAUAUCUAGAGGAACGCCAAAGGUGAAGACAGACGACUGGGACGGCGCUGACGCUGAGGCACGAAAGCGUGGGUAGCGAACGGG
rnacentral:misc_RNA from 1 species